AUUGAACGCUGGCGGCAGGCCUAACACAUGCAAGUCGAGCGAGUGGCGGACGGGUGAGUAAUGUAUGGGGACUGCCCGAUGGAGGGGGAUAACUACUGGAAACGGUGGCUAAUACCGCAUACUAUCGGAUAACCCAUAUGGGAUUAGCUAGUAGGUGAGGUAAUGGCUUACCUAGGCGACGAUCCCGCGCUGGUCUGAGAGGAUGAUCAGCCACACUGGGACGGAGACACGGCCCAGACUCCUACGGAGGCAGCAGUGGGGAAUAUUGCACAAUGGGCGCAAGCCUGAUGCAGCCAUGCCGCGUGUAUGAAGAAGGCCUUAGGGUUGUAAAGUACUUUCAGUCGGGAGGCGUUACCGACAGAAGAAGCACCGGCUAACUCCGUGCCAGCAGCCGCGGUAAUUC
rnacentral:rRNA from 1 species